rnacentral:rRNA from 1 species
AAAUACUCCUGACUGACCGAUAGUGAACCAGUACCGUGAGGGAAAGGCGAAAAGAACCCCGGCGAGGGGAGUGAAAAAGAACCUGAAACCGUGUACGUACAAGCAGUGGGAGCACAGAGCAAUCUGUGUGACUGCGUACCUUUUGUAUAAUGGGUCAGCGACUUAUAUUCUGUAGCAAGGUUAACCGAAUAGGGGAGCCGAAGGGAAACCGAGUCUUAACUGGGCGUUAAGUUGCAGGGUAUAGACCCGAAACCCGGUGAUCUAGCCAUGGGCAGGUUGAAGGUUGGGUAACACUAACUGGAGGACCGAACCGACUAAUGUUGAAAAAUUAGCGGAUGACUUGUGGCUGGGGGUGAAAGGCCAAUCAAACCGGGAGAUAGCUGGUUCUCCCCGAAAGCUAUUUAGGUAGCGCCUCGUGAAUUCAUCUCCGGGGGUAGAGCACUGUUUCGGCAAGGGGGUCAUCCCGACUUACCAACCCGAUGCAAACUGCGAAUACCGGAGAAUGUUAUCACGGGAGACACACGGCGGGUGCUAACGUCCGUCGUGAAGAGGGAAACAACCCAGACCGCCAGCUAAGGUCCCAAAGUCAUGGUUAAGUGGGAAACGAUGUGGGAAGGCCCAGACAGCCAGGAUGUUGGCUUAGAAGCAGCCAUCAUUUAAAGAAAGCGUAAUAGCUCACUGGUCGAGUCGGCCUGCGCGGAAGAUGUAACGGGGCUAAACCAUG